UAAUGCGUGACCAACCUGCCCCAUGCUCCAGAAUAGCUCUUGGAAACGGGUGGUAAUGCUGGAUGCUCCAACUUGACGCAUGUCUUGUUGGGAAAGUGUUUAGUGGCAUGGGAUGGGGUCGCGUCCUAUCAGCUUGUAGGCGGGGUAAUGGCCCACCUAGGCUUCGACGGGUAGCCGGCCUGAGAGGGCGGACGGCCACAUUGGGACUGAGAUACGGCCCAGACUCCUACGGGAGGCAGCAGCC
rnacentral:rRNA from 1 species